CGAUGUCUUGCCUACUCUUGGCUAUGGCAAUGGACUCAUGGCCGUCAUAUCGCCUGAACGAGUCUGGACAAGAUCGAUACUAGCCUAGUUACGAUCGCAUUGUGGUCCCAUUCAGCAGUACUUUAGUGCCAGGCAUUGUUGUUUGGCGCAGUCUUGGUUGCAACCUUUGAUGGUAUCGGUUUGCAGUUUGCAGCUCUGCUUCAGCUUGCUAAACGAACUACUAGUACAUGACAUUGUACUUCUUUCUGUACCAACAAAAAUAAGAAACGUAUUUCUGUUCUAUUGGCCAACACCCGUUCGACGUAAUGGCUGAGUUGUCCAUGCACAAGUGCCUGAAAUCCCUGUCACACGACGACGAAACGAGCGGAGAACUAAUCGGGCGCGAGAGACUGCUGGUGCAGGGUUUAGCACCUCGCACCGGACUGCAGAAUAUCUUCGGUGGCAACUGGUAGACCCUCUACUACUCACCCGCUCCAUGGUCGUCUAGAUACGUCACGUACUGCUACAUUGACACGCCAGUGAUUGCUGAACAGCUGGCAAGCAAGUACGAGGCGAUCCUGGAAAGUCACCCGGUUCGUGUUGACGGCGACAGAAUGGCACAUCUGAUAUACCAUGGUGAACACGACCACAGUUCCCUGGAUGGUGAAGUCGAUGUGGCGCUAAUGCUCGACACUUCAAAGGACGGUACGAAGUAUCUUCAACUUGUUCUCAUACCAGAAGAGCUGCUCACAGUGAUGCAAGCAAAGGAAAGGGAGAACGAGAAGGUGAGCAGCGCCCGCCAAAGCAAAUUGCUUGACAAGAGCCUGGCAACUCAACCCUACUACUGAAGUAUGACUACAUGCCAUCUCUCACGGUGAUCAAAAGCCUGCAAAGCCAGAAAGUUGCUGCCUCGUUAUUGAGCACCUCUGCUUGUGAGUGACAGCGAAUUCUAAUAAAACAAACAAACAAACACGAGUAGUAUCACAGAACACGUCAUAAUCUUUGCACCCAAUAACAUAGAAUGGUACUCAUCAAUUCCCUGAAAUACUUAUUGAUUUUUCCUUCAUGAAUUUAUCAGUUUACAUGCUAUUUUCAAUGGAAACUCUCUCUCUCUCUCUCUCUCUCUAUCUAUCUAUCUAUCUAUCUAUCUAUCUAUCUAUCAAGUAUCUAUCUAACUAGAUAUCUAUCUCUCUAUCUCUCCCUCUGUCUCUCUCUCUCUCUCACACACACACACGCACGCACGCACACACACACGUCUCCCUUAUUAUAAUGGAUCUGGCAAUGGGCACGCUUAAAGUGCUGCAAUGACCUACAACAUUGGCCCUGAUGGUGAGAACACCAAAUCACAUUGGCCUUGAUGGUGACAACACCACAUCACUGCAGGGCCAUUCACCGGUUUUGCUGCCCAUGACCAGGGUCCAUUUUACCAAACAAAAUUUCAUGAAUCCCGAUAUCUCACUAACUGUUACUGCUGUAUGCCAUACUCUUCAAGUAUGUGUUAUCUGGAGUGUGCUGUCGAAUCAUUUGCCAUAGUAGUUACUCAUCAUAUCAGUUGAAUAUUUCUUACCACACCAGUGCACCUUCAUCAUCACAUGACUUGACAUAUAUUCGCUAUUCACACAGGAUUUCUGGAAAUCAUUAUAGCUUUGACUAGAAUGCCGGG